rnacentral:misc_RNA from 1 species
GUGAAUCAUCAAAUCUUUGAACGCAAAUUGCACUCUCUUCGGAGAGUAUGCGUGUUUGAGGGUCAGCCUAAAAAAAAAUCGACAUAGUCGCUGGUUCGCGGUGACAUUCGUCGGAAAUUGGGCUAUCUUAAACCUGUGGGUUUUAAGCGGCUGAAAAUUUUCUUUACGAUUGCACGAACGUUUUUAAGUUAUAUUUCUUAUAAGUUUAAGGUAUGGAUUGUUAUUAGAUGUGGC